CUUAUGAGAAAGUUUUGACUUGAAUUGAAAAUAGAGGUGCUAAUUUGUCUGCUAAAAGGAAUUAGAAGUAUUGUUUUAUUUUCCAGGUCAGGACAAGCUGUUCUUUAAAGAUGGAAAUUACUAUGAGGGCAAAUUUGUCAAUGGAAAAACUAUGGGGAAUGGAUUUCAAUACUGGGUAUCAGCAUUCUGAGCAGAAAAAAGUCCAUCAAUUGAAGACCUGUACCAGUAAGUUGCUCCAGAAAGUAAUUUCUUUGGUUUCUGUACAGGGAACACUUAGUCCGGUCAGUUAGUGUUUGGAAAGCUCCAUGGACACAAAGUAUUGCAUUAGAAAGAUGGUGGGAAAUAUGAAGGACAGUUCUGUGGAACAAGAGAAGGGGCAGUGGAGAAAUGACGUGGUCAAUGAACAGGGCGCUAUAGUUGAUUGUUCUGGUGACAUCUGUGAUGGACUGUGGAUCAAUGGCUACCCUGCUGGUACGUACGUUCAUUAUGCUCUCCGGUUAUUAACAAGUCUUUGACAUAAUACUUUGGUUGUCCCUCUUUUGAUUAAUAUGAUCUGACUAUAGUGU
rnacentral:lncRNA from 1 species